rfam:Nelumbo nucifera unplaced genomic scaffold scaffold00070, whole genome shotgun sequence
GACAGUUUGGCCGAGUGGUCUAAGGCGCCAGAUUUAGGCUCUGGUCCGAAAGGGCAUGGGUUCAAAUCCCAUAGCUGUCA